CCCUUAGAUGUUCUGGGCCGCACGCGCGCUACACUGACGGAGCCAGCGAGUAUAAACCUUGGCCGAGAGGUCUGGGAAAUCUUGUGAAACUCCGUCGUGCUGGGGAUAGAGCAUUGUAAUUAUUGCUCUUCAACGAGGAAUUCCUAGUAAGCGCAAGUCAUUAGCUUGCGUUGAUUACGUCCCUGCCCUUUGUACACACCGCCCGUCGCUACUACCGAUUGAAUGGCUUAGUGAGGCUUCCGGAUUGGUUUAGAGAAGGGGGCAACUCCAUCUUGGAACCGAGAAGCUAGUCAAACUUGGUCAUUUAGAGGAAGUAAAAGUCGUAACA
rnacentral:rRNA from 1 species